rnacentral:rRNA from 1 species
UGGGGAAUCUUGCGCAAUGGGCGAAAGCCUGACGCAGCGACGCCGCGUGAGGGAUGACGGCCUUCGGGUUGUAAACCUCUUUCAGCCCUGACGAAGCGAGAGUGACGGUAGGGGCAGAAGAAGCACCGGCCAACUACGUGCCAGCAGCCGCGGUAAUACGUAGGGUGCAAGCGUUGUCCGGAAUUAUUGGGCGUAAAGAGCUCGUAGGCGGUCUGUCGCGUCGGCUGUGAAAACUCGGGGCUCAACUCCGAGCUUGCAGUCGAUACGGGCAGGCUAGAGUGCGGCAGGGGAGACUGGAAUUCCUGGUGUAGCGGUGAAAUGCGCAGAUAUCAGGAGGAACACCGGUGGCGAAGGCGGGUCUCUGGGCCGAUACUGACGCUGAGGAGCGAAAGCGUGGGGAGCAAACAGGAUUAGAUACCCCCGUAGUCC